GGACCAUCCAUGCACCCAGCUCGAGCAGUGGUAGAGCUUUUGGGGUCAAUUACGUUGGAUUUGGUACUGGUUCUUCUGCUGGCACAGAUGUUCUCAAAGAAGGUCUAUACAGAACUCUCAUCUACUUGAAGAUGUCCCUGCUCACUGCAAGGAGUCCCUUCCAACGACUGUGAAGAAUAAAUUAAAAUACCAGGUGGAGCACCUCAGACACAA